rnacentral:sRNA from 1 species
GAGGAGGGAAAGCGGCGAGUAAGAUGGAAGAUGAGGAGGUCGCUGAGAGCUGGGAAGAGGCGGCAGACAGCGGGGGCUGGUGUGAGCAGAAAAUGAAUGUCUGGGGAAGAAUAUUGACAGCCAUAAUACAUUAUAUUGAUAUAAGGAAAUAGACAGACGGUUGGAAAAAAAACUGAAGAUCACACAAAAAGAGAGGAAAUCCAAAUCUCCUCCCAAAGUGCCCAUUGUGAUUCAGGACGAUAGCCUUCCCGCGGGGCCCCCUCCACAGAUCCGCAUCCUCAAGAGGCCCACCAGCAACGGUGUGGUCAGCAGCCCCAACUCCACCAGCAGGCCCACCCUUCCAGUCAAGUCCCUAGCACAGCGAGAGGCCGAGUACGCUGAGGCCCGGAAGCGGAUCCUGGGCAGCGCCAGCCCCGAGGAGGAGCAGGAGAAACCCAUCCUCGACAGGCCAACCAGGAUCUCCCAACCCGAAGACAGCAGGCAGCCCAAUAAUGUGAUCAGACAGCCUUUGGGUCCUGAUGGGUCACAAGGCUUCAAACAGCGCAGAUA